CUGUGCCCCAAGUCAGGCAUAGGGGCAUCAGUUUAAUAAUGCUGCGUAGGGCCCCAUAAAUCCAAAGGAUGGCCCUGUCUCUGAUUUCUUUUGGU